rnacentral:snRNA from 1 species
CUGCUUGCUUCAGCAGCACAUACACUAAAAUUGGAACAAUACAGAGAAGAUUAGCAUGGGCCCUGCCGCAAGGAUGACAUGCAAAUUCGAGAAGUGUUCCAUAUUUAA